rnacentral:rRNA from 1 species
UACGGAGGGGGCUAGCGUUGUUCGGAAUUACUGGGCGUAAAGCGCACGUAGGCGGAUCUGUAAGUCAGGGGUGAAAUCCCGGGGCUCAACCUCGGAACUGCCUUUGAUACUGCAAAUCUCGAGUCCGGAAGAGGUGAGUGGAAUUCCUAGUGUAGAGGUGAAAUUCGUAGAUAUUAGGAAGAACACCAGUGGCGAAGGCGGCUCACUGGUCCGGUACUGACGCUGAGGCGCGAAAGCCAGGGGAGCAAACGGG